CAGCAGUGGGGGAAUUUUCCAGAAUGGGCCCAAGGGGAGGCUAGCCGCGUGAGUGAAGAAGGCCUUUGGGUUGUAAAGCACUGAUCAGCUAACCAAGAAAGGGCCUUCUAACAGGCCUUUUUGGAGGACAGCUCCUCGAAGAGAAGAAAACUACCCUCUAAUAAAGGUG
rnacentral:rRNA from 1 species